AAAAUAUGGUGAAGCAUAUCUUCCCUUUGGCUUCACCUGCACAAGUGCUGAGAUUCUGAAGGACCAGCUACUGUUUUCAUGAACUGUGUUUUACACACACAAAGGUUUGCAGUCAGUUCCAAACUUUAGAAAAAUCCAGAGCUGCCACGGCCACUCUGGCCUCAGAAAACCCUCCCUUCUCCAUCUCAUCACCUACAAACAGUGAACAAAGGCAAGCUUAGGACGCAUUUCAUCAAACUGGUGAUCAAGCUGGGCCUCUACAGAAGCAGCUGUGUUGCUCAGCACGAUAUCUGGACUAUAGCCAGGUCUCCAUAGGAACUACAGGAGAAGGUUGCUGGUUUUUGUGACCUUAUAAACCAGUCCGGCACCAGCUCACAGGCUGGAUAGUGCACUUGGUCUCGGCAAAGGCACCUUUUAAGAAAGUUUGAUCUGUUUUUAAGUAGCUCUCUCUCUGGGAUAGUGUUGUCCUUUGCAGUGGAUUUAAAACAUGGCUAUUAAUUAGUUAGCCAACACAGAUGACUUAAAUGAGAAGCAUCAGAAUACUGUGAUAACGGUUAAUGCACACUUUCCUGUAAGCCUUUUCCACUAGAACCUGACAUAACAGUCCUUGUAACAGCUGUCAACUGAGUAAUGUGUGAUAGUAGCAACAGGGAA